GUUUUCUUUUUUCGUUUAACGUUUGGUUCCGCUUUUUUUCCGGCGCUUUAUUAAUUCUAUUAAUUUGUUCCGUCAGAUACUUUAUAUGAUCUAACCUAUCUUUUAUCAUUCCGUCAACUUUUGCGCGUAUUUGUCGUCUCAAGAGAUAUGGACUAACUGUUCCUGUUGGCUGGGAUACUGACCGUUCAUCUACCGUAAGGAUGUCGUUUACUACGACUCCUGGUUGCGAGCCGCAACCAGGAGUCGUAGUAAACGACACCCUUUUUGAUCAGGUCCCUCCCGUCUGCCAGCGGGUGUCGCGACCGUGGCCCCUCCCCUGAGAGAGACAUGGGUAACUCCCAAUUGUGGACCUUCCCUACGUUAACGCAGUUUUUGUUCGCAUUAGCGCUACCUUCUUUAUUCAUGUCGGUCUUUACCCUUGGUCGAGUCUGGGAGUUCGACGGUUCAUUAUCUAUGUCGUUUUCAUCAUCGCUCCCAUGCGGAAAAUUUAAGACUAACGAUUCAUUUACAGUUCGUACUUUUGUAAGUCUGUCAAUAUGUAUAAUUUGUUUUUUACGAGGUGAGUUUAUUAAUUGAAUCUCGACAUUUAUUGGUGACAGU
rnacentral:lncRNA from 1 species